AGACCCGAAACCCGGUGAUCUAGCCAUGGGCAGGUUGAAGGUUGGGUAACACUAACUGGAGGACCGAACCGACUAAUGUUGAAAAAUUAGCGGAUGACCUGUGGCUGGGGGUGAAAGGCCAAUCAAACCGGGAGAUAGCUGGUUCUCCCCGAAAGCUAUUUAGGUAGCGCCUCGUGAACUCAUCUCCGGGGGUAGAGCACUGUUUCGGCUAGGGGGCCAUCCCGGCUUACCAACCCGAUGCAAACUGCGAAUACCGGAGAAUGUUAUCACGGGAGACACACGGCGGGUGCUAACGUCCGUCGUGAAGAGGGAAACAACCCAGACCGCCAGCUAAGGUCCCAAAGUCAUGGUUAAGUGGGAAACGAUGUGGGAAGGCCCAGACAGCCAGGAUGUUGGCUUAGAAGCAGCCAUCAUUUAAAGAAAGCGUAAUAGCUCACUGGUCGAGUCGGCCUGCGCGGAAGAUGUAACGGGGCUAAACCAUGCACCGAAGCUGCGGCAGCGACGCUUAUGCGUUGUUGGGUAGGGGAGCGUUCUGUAAGCCGUUGAAGGUGUGUCGUGAGGCAUGCUGGAGGUAUCAGAAGUGCGAAUGCUGACAUAAGUAACGAUAAAGCGGGUGAAAAGCCCGCUCGCCGGAAGACCAAGGGUUCCUGUCCAACGUUAAUCGGGGCAGGGUGAGUCGACCCCUAAGGCGAGGCCGAAAGGCGUAGUCGAUGGGAAACGGGUUAAUAUUCCCGUACUUGGUGUUACUGCGAAGGGGGGACGGAGAAGGCUAUGUUGGCCGGGCGACGGUUGUCCCGGUUUAAGCGUGUAGGCUGACUUUCCAGGCAAAUCCGGAGAGUCAAG
rnacentral:rRNA from 1 species